rnacentral:rRNA from 1 species
UACACACCGCCCGUCACGUCAUGAAAGUUGGAUACGCCUGAAGCCGGUGGCCUAACCCGCAAGGGAGGGAGCCGUCGAGGGCGGAGCCAGCGAUUGGGACGAAGUCGUAACAAGGUUACC